GUCAUAAAUUUACAUACAUGAACAUACUCCUCCUUAAGUUGUUCACAAACAUGCACAUUCAGUCACACAUGCAAAUGUGGGUACAAUCUCCUUCACACACAUAGGUGCACACAAACACACACACACACACACACACAUUAUGCCGCCCCCACAUCAGGACCCAGUAUUCUCAAAGCAGGCCUCUUUUGGCAGGCUGUUGCCCUGUUACCACAUGAACUGUGGUGUGGGCUCCCAAAUAUUAACAACACUGGCUGGCUGUUUUGGAUACAGAUGCCCACAUCUCCCUAAUCCUAGAUAAUUGAGCACAAUUUGCCUUCCCCUUUGAGGAUCAACAAUACACUUUUCCCAGUUGCCUGUAGGGUACAUGAAUACCUCUGGGAUUUCACAAGGAAUUUGCUGUCUGGAUCUAGACUCCUGCUCUGCACCAGGCACCUCCCACAGAAACUCAGCUCUGGCAUUGUACUGAUGUCAUCCUUGUCCCGGGACCUGGCUAUGACUCUGUGUCACACACUGUCACCACUACAAAACCCAGAGCUUAGCCACCUCCUUCUUGAUCCUGAUGAGAACCUGAUGUGAACCAGUGAUUCUGAAACCAUCCUUUAGCCUGUGUUCAUUAUCAUCCAGUAUAAGCCAAACAAACCACUCUCUGGAGAAAGAGGUGACCUUAUCAGUCAUCCUGAUACUUUGCUCCUCAAAAGGCACUGUGGAACCCGGGAGGUGGACCUAAACCUCUCUCAGACCAGUACAAGUCCCAUUUAUUGAAGCUUGCACUCAAAGAAGUUCGUCUAAGUGACCAAGGACAAUUUACCAUGAAUUUCCUCCCUGGUUGGGAAUUUACAUGCCGCAACUAAGAUCCCAUAUAAUGUAACAAAGAUCCCAUGGGCCACAAUAAAGAUCCCACAUACCAAAAUUAAAAGAUCCCAUAUGCCACAACUAAAGAUCCCCCAUGCUGCAACAAAGAUCCCAUAUACCACAACUAUAAAUAUCCCACACGCUACAAUGAAGACUCUGCCUGCCACCAUUAAAAAGAUCCUGUGUGCCGCAACAAAGAUCCCACAUACCGCAGGUAAAGAUCUCAUGUGCUACAACAAAAUCCUAUAUGCUGCAAUGCAGAUCAUGCAUGUUGCAAGUAGAAGGAUCUUGCAUUUCCCAACUGAUAGAUGCCACAUGCUGUGACUAAAAUAUCCCACAUGCCACAACUAAUAGAUUCUUUUUUUUUUUCACAACUAAUAGAUUCUGCAUGGUGCAACUAAGAUCCUACAUAUCACAACAAAUAUCCCAAUACCACAAUUAAAAGAUCCUGCAUGUUGCAACAAAGAUCCUGCAAACCAAAACUAAAAGAUUCUGUAUGUAGCAAGUAAAGAUGCCCCAUGCCACAACUAAAGAUCUUGCUUACUGCAACUAAAAGAUCCCGCAUGUCACAACUAAAAGUUCCUACGUGACACAAUAAAGAUCCCACAUAUCGCAACAAAUAUCCCCAAAGCACAAGUAAAAGAUCUCACAAGCUGCAACUAAACAUAUUCCUCAUUUUGCAACUAAAAGAUCCUACAUGCAACAACUAAAAGAUCACAUAUGCUGUAACUAAAGAUUUACAUGCAACUACAAAGAUCCCACACACUACAACUAAAAGAUCCCCCAUGCCACAACCAAAGAUCCUGCAUGCCACCACAAAAUCCCACACACCAAAGCUAAAAGAUCCCAUAGGCUGCAACUAAACAACCCGCAAACUAAAAAUAAAUAUCCCACAUGCCCUGACUUAAGAGAUCCUGCAUGUAAGCAAUGAAGAUCCCAUGUGCCACAACUAAGACCCAACAUAAACUAAUAAGUUAAAUACAUAUUUUUUUAAAUUUUAUUUAUUUUAAUUGGAGGCUAAUUACUUUACAAUAUUGCAUUGGUUCUGCCACACAUCAACAUGAAUCCGCCACGGGCGUACACGUGUUCCCCAUCCUGAACCUCCCUCCCACCUCACUCCCCGUAGCAUCCCUCCGGGUCAUCCCAGUGCACCAGGCCCAAGGAUCCUGUAUUGAACCUGGACUGGUGAUUCGUUUCUUAUAUUAUAUUAUACAUGUUUCCAUGACAUUCCCCCAAAUCAUCCCACCCUUUCCCUCUCC
ensembl:lncRNA